GAUGAACGCUGGCGGCGUGCCUAAUACAUGCAAGUCGAGCGAACGGACGAGAAGCUUGCUUCUCUGAUGUUAGCGGCGGACGGGUGAGUAACACGUGGAUAACCUACCUAUAAGACUGGGAUAACUUCGGGAAACCGGAGCUAAUACCGGAUGAUAUUUUGAACCGCAUGGUUCAAAAGUGAAAGACGGUCUUGCUGUCACUUAUAGAUGGAUCCGCGCUGCAUUAGCUAGUUGGUAAGGUAACGGCUUACCAAGGCAACGAUGCAUAGCCGACCUGAGAGGGUGAUCGGCCACACUGGAACUGAGACACGGUCCAGACUCCUACGGGAGGCAGCAGUAGGGAAUCUUCCGCAAUGGGCGAAAGCCUGACGGAGCAACGCCGCGUGAGUAAUGAAGGUCCUCGGAUCGUAAAACUCUGUUAUUAGGGAAGAACAUAUGUGUAAGUAACUGUGCACAUCUUGACGGUACCUAAUCAGAAAGCCACGGCUAACUACGUG
rnacentral:rRNA from 1 species